GACGAACGCUGGCGGCGUGCCUAAUACAUGCAAGUAGAACGCUGAAGGAGGAGCUUGCUUCUCUGGAUGAGUUGCGAACGGGUGAGUAACGCGUAGGUAACCUGCCUGGUAGCGGGGGAUAACUAUUGGAAACGAUAGCUAAUACCGCAUAAGAGUAGAUGUUGCAUGACAUUUGCUUAAAAGGUGCAAUUGCAUCACUACCAGAUGGACCUGCGUUGUAUUAGCUAGUUGGUGAGGUAACGGCUCACCAAGGCGACGAUACAUAGCCGACCUGAGAGGGUGAUCGGCAACACUGGGACUGAGACACGGCCCAGACUCCUACGGGAGGCAGCAGUAGGGAAUCUUCGGCAAUGGACGGAAGUCUGUCCGAGCAACGCCGCGUGAGUGAAGAAGGUUUUCGGAUCGUAAAGCUCUGUUGUAAGAGAAGAACGAGUGUGAGAGUGGAAAGUUCACACUGUGACGGUAUCUUACCAGAAAGGGACGGCUAACUACGUG
rnacentral:rRNA from 1 species